UUCACCCUUAGAUCAGUCAGUAGAGCAUGAGACUCUUAAUCUCCAGGUUGUGGGUUUGAGCUCUACGUUGGGUGAAA